rnacentral:rRNA from 1 species
GAUGAACGCUGGCGGCGUGCCUAAUACAUGCAAGUCGAGCGAACAGACGAGGAGCUUGCUCCUCUGAUGUUAGCGGCGGACGGGUGAGUAACACGUGGAUAACCUACCUAUAAGACUGGGAUAACUUCGGGAAACCGGAGCUAAUACCGGAUAACAUGUUGAACCGCAUGGUUCAACAGUGAAAGACGGUCUUGCUGUCACUUAUAGAUGGAUCCGCGCCGCAUUAGCUAGUUGGUAAGGUAACGGCUUACCAAGGCAACGAUGCGUAGCCGACCUGAGAGGGUGAUCGGCCACACUGGAACUGAGACACGGUCCAGACUCCUACGGGAGGCAGCAGUAGGGAAUCUUCCGCAAUGGGCGAAAGCCUGACGGAGCAACGCCGCGUGAGUGAAGAAGGUCUUCGGAUCGUAAAACUCUGUUAUUAGGGAAGAACGAAUGUGUAAGUAACUAUGCACGUCUUGACGGUACCUAAUCAGAAAGCCACGGCUAACUACGUG